UAGACAUGGUAAUGAUUUGUGACGCCAGUAACGGGAUGUAUAAAUAAUAUUGUUCAAUUCAUGCAGCCUUCCAUGUAGAGGGUGGUUAGAAAACUGCAUAGAUUUGAACAAGAAUCGAUCACUUAAAAAUUGCCUUCUUAAUUUUAAAGGAGGAUCGCAGCAUUCUACUUGUAAAGCAUUGGAUGGGCUUGAUUUCAUUACUCCUGUCACAAUUCUCAAAGCUUUUGACUGAAUGACAUCAAGUUUUUUACUUCCCAAGACACUUCCUCCAUCUAAGAGAAAUGUGCCAUAAUCUAAAACAGAUCUUAUAAGAGCGUUAUACACAAGUUUCAUAGAAAACGGAUGAGCACCCCACCAUACACCUGAAAGGCAUUUCAUGAUGUUAAGCAGCUGUGCACAUUUCAUAACAACAUGUUCAUAAUGGGCAAGUCCAGACAAUUUUGAAUCCAAUAUAACUCCUAAAAACUUAAUUUUUGUUUGGAGUGGCAAAGAUUGACCAUUGAAGGUCACAUUUAUUAUAGGAGUUGUGCGUUUUUUGGAAAAUACGACUAUAGAACUUUUGGAAACUGAUAGAUCUAGGCCAUUUUUAACUAACCAGAUAUUAAGACAAUUAAGUGAACUAGACAUGGAAUUGCAAGCCUUAACCACAGAUUUAUCAACGGAAUAAAAAAGAAGAUCAUCUGCAUAUUGUAGCACAUUUAUAUGGGAAUUUAUAGAUAAUUCUAAAUCAUACGUGUAAAUAUUAUAUAAAAGUGGGCUUAGUACCGAACCUUGGGGAAGGCCUUUAAAAACUGUACGCUUUAACUCGGUAAUAUUACCAUCUUUCUGAACGAUUAAUGAUAUGUAUCUGCAUGAUAGUAAAUUGAUGAUAAAACGUAUUAAUAACGUAGGAACCUAUAGCUCUAAUAAUUUGCGUUGUAGAAUAGAAAUGUUCACAUUAUCAUAGGCGGCAGAGAUGUCCAAAAAGGCAGCAACAAUAUCUUCAUCACGCGAAAAAGCUAUGCGAAUAUCUGUGGUCAAUAUAGCUAAAUUGUCUAUUGUAGAUUUUGACUUCCGAAAACCGUAUUGACUAUUGGCUAUUAAAUUAUUGUUUUCUAUAAACCAUUCCAAACGAUUCUUCACAAGAUGUUCAGCAAUUUUAGUUAAAACGGAGGACAACGCAAUAGGCCUAUAUGAGGCAACAUCAUUGGUAGGUUUGUUAGGUUUUUUAAUCGCUAUAACUUCUUGAGACUUCCAUGUUUCAGGAAUAUUACCUGUGACCAUGACGGAGUUUAUUAAAUUUAAAAAAUACAUUAAGGCAGUAUCACCAAGAUGAGAUAAAAAUGAGUACAUAAUACCAUCCUGACCAGGAGAUGAAUCUUUAACAUGUGAAAGCACACCUUUCAAUUCAUGUAAUGAAAAAGGAGAGUUUAAAGAGGAAAUGUCAUCUAUCAAAGACGAUUCCAAAGGAAAGUAGAUCGAUUCAGCAGCUGAUGGAGGAGCUAAUCUGUCUAAAAAGGCAUUUGUUAAAAAAGGGGGAAGUGAAGACGAUGAUAAAGAUUCUUUGAAAGCAGAUCGAAAACGUUUAAUACUUGUCCAAACUUCUGAAGGGCACGUAGAAGGAGAUAAAGAAGUACAAAAAUUUUUCCAGCCUGCCUGCUUUUUAUCUCUGAGGAAUUUACGUGUGGUACUAAUAACUUCAUUGAGAAUAUCUAAAUUUUCAUUGGACAUGUCCUCAGCAUAGACUCUCUCAGCUUCCUUUCUUCUGCUUACAGCAACCAUACAUUCUCUAUCCCACCAUGGAGGAAAAGGAAUCUUAUUAGACGGAUUUCGUUUGACAGAAAAAAUCUGAUCGGCAGAUUCUAUUAAACAUGUAGCCAAAGCUUUAGAGGAAUUGGUCUCACCACCGCUAACUAAUUCAGGCAAAUCAUUUAUUUUAGAUUCGACAAGGAUUUUAAAUGCAAGCCAAUCAGCAUUAUUUAAUUUAUAUUUCACACGAGGUUGUCGUUUUUGAUAAGGAGAGCGUCUAAUAGGUGAGGAUAUGAUAAUCGGGAAAUGAUCACUGCCAAAAGUAGAUGAUGAAGUGUACCAAGAACGAGAAGAAGCAAGAUCUGGAGUACAAAUUGAUAAGUCAACCGCGCUAAGCUUUUCAUUAGGCUUUGUACGUCUGGUUGGUGAGCCAGUAUUAAGUAAACACAAAUUAUGUAAAUCUAAUAUUUCAACUAAACGUACACCAUUGGAGUCAGUAGUGCCACAACCAAACAUUUGGUGAUGAGAGUUAAAGUCACCCAAUAGAAGGAAUGGACGACUAAGUGAAGAAAGUAAAUUAUUAACGCUAUUGAGAAUAACAAAAGAGGAACGAGCUAGAAAAAUUAAUUGAGUUCCUGACAAGUAACGCUACGCCACCAUGGCCAUCAAAUCUAUCAUCACGCAAGCAGGUAUAUCCUGGGAUCCUUAAUAGGUACCCUGGCUUCAACCACGUUUCAGAUAACGCAACAACAACGGGAGAAUGUUUAUUUAUCAAAUAUAUCAAAUCAUGUUUCUUUGGAACAACACUCCUGCAAUUCCAUUGAAUUAUAUUGGAAUCCAUUAUUUUUAAUAACAUUAACUGAUUUAAUUUUUUCAUUAAUAGAGGCAACGUGGGACGGUUUCAAUAAGUUUGAGUUUAUUAAACUAGUUAAUAAUGCUAGUAUCAUUUCUAAUA